CCUACGGGAGGCAGCAGUGAGGAAUAUUGGUCAAUGGGCGUAAGCCUGAACCAGCCAAGUCGCGUGAAGGAUGAAGGUUCUAUGGAUUGUAAACCUCUUUUAUAAGGGAAUAAAGUGUGGGACGUGUCCUAUUUUGUAUGUACCUUAUGAAUAAGGAUCGGCUAACUCCGUGCCAGCAGCCGCGGUAAUACGGAGGAUCCGAGCGUUAUCCGGAUUUAUUGGGUUUAAAGGGUGCGUAGGUGGCUUUUUAAGUCAGCGGUGAAAGUUUGUGGCUCAACCAUAGAAUUGCCAUUGAAACUGGUGGUCUUGAGUAUGUUUGAGGCAGGCGGAAUGCGUGGUGUAGCGGUGAGAUGCUUAGAUAUCACGCAGAACCCCGAUUGCGAAGGCAGCCUACGAAGCCAUGACUGACGCUGAUGCGCGAAAGCGUGGGGAUCAAACAGGAUUAGAUACCCUUGUAGUC
rnacentral:rRNA from 1 species